rnacentral:sRNA from 1 species
GCCAGGCAUGGUGGCACACACCUGUAAUCCCAACUGUUUGGGAGGCUGAGACAGGAGGAUCGUGAGUUCAAAGCCAGCCUCAGCAAAAGUGAGGCACUAAGCAACUCAGUGAGACCCUGUCUCUA